rnacentral:lncRNA from 1 species
GAACACGCUGAUAGCUACAUGGACAACGGGGAUAAGCAAAGCUGAGCACAUGUGGUCCUCGUUUGUCAAUGCCUUGUCAAGAGGGUCAAGUAUAGCAGAAAAUCUAAAACUUGACUAUGUACAAGCCUUUCGUGUAGUAAAUGUAUUCUGACAUCCCUAAAGCAUAUGCAAAGUUUUCCUAGUGUUUUUUCUAAAUGACCGGAGAUUUUCUAGUCUAUUUUUUCCCAACAAAAAACCAUCACCC